CCUACGGGAGGCAGCAGUGGGGAAUGUUGCGCAAUGAUCGGAAGAGUGACGCAGCGACGCCGCGUGAAUGACGAAGGCCUUCGGGUCGUAAAGUUCUUUCGACAGGGAAGAAAAUGCCGAUAAGUAACUGUGUAUGUAUGGACGGUACCGGUAGAAGCAGCACCGGCUAACUCCGUGCCAGCAGCCGCGGUAAGACGGAGGGGGCGAGCGUUGUUCGGAGUGACUGGGCGUAAAGAGCACGUAGGCGGUGUUGUAAGUCAUUAGUCAAAGACUAGAGCUCAACUUUAGUAAGGCUAGUGAUCCUCUCAUACUCGAGUAUCAGAGCGGUUUGCAGACUUCCUGUUGUAGCGGUGAAAUGCGUAGAUAUCAGGAGG
rnacentral:rRNA from 1 species